rnacentral:rRNA from 1 species
AAGAUGUCCGGGGCUCAAACUUACCACCGAAGCUAUGGGUGUACACUACGUGUACGCGGUAGGGGAGCUUUCUGUAUGGGUUGAAGUCAUACCGUAAGGAGUGGUGGACUGUACAGAAGUGAGAAUGCUGGCAUAAGUAGCGAGAAAUAAGUGAGAAUCUUAUUGGCCGAAAACCUAAGGUUUCCUGGGGAAGGUUCGUCCGCCCAGGGUUAGUCGGGACCUAAGCCGAGGCCGAAAGGCGUAGGUGAUGGACAAUCGGUUGAUAUUCCGAUACCACCUAUUUACGUUUGAGAAAUGGGGUGACGCAGUAGGAUAAGAUGUGCGCACUAUUGGAUGUGCGUCUAAGCAUUUAGGCAUGCUUGAUAGGCAAAUCCGUCAAGCUAAGCUGAGAUGUUAUGGGGAGCCAAUUAUGGCGAAGUAUCUGAUUCCACACUGCCAAGAAAAGCCUCUAUCGAGUGGAUAGGUGCCCGUACCGCAAACCGACACAGGUAGGUGAGGAGAGAAUCCUAAGGCCAUCGGAAGAAUUGCUGUUAAGG